UACGUAGGGUGCGAGCGUUAAUCGGAAUUACUGGGCGUAAAGCGUGCGCAGGCGGUUCGUUGUGUCGGUGGUGAAAUCCCCGGGCUUAACCUGGGAAUGGCCAUGGAAACUGGCGAACUGGAGUGUGGCAGAGGGGGGUGGAAUUCCGCGUGUAGCAGUGAAAUGCGUAGAGAUGCGGAGGAACACCGAUGGCGAAGGCAGCCUCCUGGGAUAACACUGACGCUCAUGCACGAAAGCGUGGGGAGCAAACAGG
rnacentral:rRNA from 1 species